UCUUAUUUUAAAAAGCAUAGAUUAUACAAAAAUUAAUAUGAAGUUAGUUAUGCAGUGUACGUGCGUACCGAAUUGGGAUACACUAAAUAUAGUUGAUUUUUUUACUUCAAACAUUUAGCCAUGACCUUUUUGAUGUAAAACCAGUUAUUACGUGGGCGUGUAAAAUGGGUCACGAAUGUUUAGUUAAAGAUUUUAUUGAAAAGAUAUAGAGAAAGUAAAUUUGACCAAAAAUUGGCGAUGAAAACAGCUUGUGGAAGUUUUUCGAGAUGUACAAAAGUUAUCGAGUGUCUACUUAAGGAAUUUGACAAUUCGUCACUUGAUAUUGCAUCAGGUUUGAAAGCCGCUUGCAAGUCAGGGAAUAUCGACGUGGUAGAACUACUUUUAAAAUACAAUAUAGAUUGCACUGAUUUGAGGUCUGCAUUAAAGGGGACAAGUAGCAAAGAAUAUAACAGAAAUGAUACAGGAAAAGCUCGCGAAAUUGGAAUCGCCAAAAUGUUGUUCUUUGAACUAAUGGUUAAGAAUUAUUUUUCAAAAAGAGUAAUGUGCAUAUUUUUCGUUGCUUGUGUUCAGAUGAAACCUUUUGGUGGGAUUGUAAAUAAUCAAUAUCGUUAAUUAUAGCUAUUUUUCGAAAUUUUCGUUUGGUCUUGCUGUCUGAUAAUUUCCUUUCUCAGUGGAGUCGAUUGAUAUGAAAACUAUCGA
rnacentral:lncRNA from 1 species